AGUCGUCCCGGCAAGGGCGAAUCCGCCGCAGGUGAAGGGGCGCACCGCCACCGCCACCGCCACCGCCACCGCCGGUCGCCCGCGGCCUCGUCGCGCUUGAACCAGGGGAGGCGAUGGUGAGUAGCCGCGGCGGCGGCGGCGGCGGCUGGCCACUCGGGGGGCGCGUGGGCAAGCUUCCCGCCGCCUCACGGAGAGGCGAUCGGAGGGCAACGCCGCGAACCGGCAAAACUAGAUUGGGAGGCGAGUGAGAUUCUGAUGCUCUCUGUUGAGGACCCACAAGAAGGGAAGGAUGCAGGUGGAUAGCAGCUAAAUAUGCUGGAGAAGAUGACAUGAUUUUUUUUAGAACAAUGAGCAGAUGACAUGAAUUGAGUACUUACAAAAAUAAAAACUGAUGUAAAUGAAGGCUUAAAACAACUUAGCUAGUCUUGAAAUAUGUAGUAGCAGGGAAACAAUCUACAGGAAAUUUUGCCAUGGCCUCCUCGAGUUCAAUC